GAUGAACGCUGGCGGCGUGCUUAACACAUGCAAGUCGAACGGAACUCCUAUGAUUGAGGUUUCGGCCAAAAGAAUAGGGCGUUUAGUGGCGGACGGGUGAGUAACGCGUGAGUAACCUGCCUUGGAGUGGGGAAUAACACAGUGAAAACUGUGCUAAUACCGCAUAAUGCAUUUGGGUCGCAUGAUUCUGAAUGCCAAAGAUUUAUCGCUCUGAGAUGGACUCGCGUCUGAUUAGCUAGUUGGCGGGGUAACGGCCCACCAAGGCGACGAUCAGUAGCCGGACUGAGAGGUUGGCCGGCCACAUUGGGACUGAGACACGGCCCAGACUCCUACGGGAGGCAGCAGUGGGGAGUAUUGGGCAAUGGGCGCAAGCCUGACCCAGCAACGCCGCGUGAAGGAAGAAGGCUUUCGGGUUGUAAACUUCUUUUGUCAGGGACGAAGCAAGUGACGGUACCUGACGAAUAAGCCACGGCUAACUACGUGCCAGCAGCCGCCGUAAUAC
rnacentral:rRNA from 1 species